AGUGAACGUUGGCGGCGUGGAUUAGGCAUGCGAGUCGAGCGAGAACCGUAGCAAUACGGGGACAGCGGCGAAAGGGACAGUAAUAUGUAGGUACCUACCCUCGGGUCCGGGAUAGCUGCGGGAAACUGCAGGUAAUACCGGAUGACAUCUCCGGAUCAACGGUGUGAUUCCGCCCGGGGAGGGGCCUGCAUCCUAUUAGCUGGUUGGUGGGGUAACGGCCUACCAAGGCGACGAUGGGUAGCGGGUGUGAGAGCAUGACCCGCGUCAUUGGGACUGAGACACUGCCCAGACACCUACGGGUGGCUGCAGUCGAGAAUCUUCGGCAAUGGGGGCAACCCUGACCGAGCGACGCCGCGUGCGGGAUGAAGGCCUUCGGGUUGUAAACCGCUGUCGUAGAGGAGGAAAUGCAGGGGGGUUCUCCCCUCUGUUUGACCUAUUCUAGGAGGAAGGACGGGCUAAGUUCGUGCCAGCAGCCGCCGUAA
rnacentral:rRNA from 1 species